rnacentral:rRNA from 1 species
AGUGAACGCUGGCGGUAGGCCUAACACAUGCAAGUCGAACGGCAGCACAGUAAGCGCUUGCUCUUACGGGUGGCGAGUGGCGGACGGGUGAGAAAUACAUCGGAAUCUACUUUUUCGUGGGGGACAACGUAGGGCAACUUACGCUAAUACCGCAUACGACCUACGGGUGAAAGCACGGGAUCUUCGGACCUUGCGCGAUUGAAUGAGCCGAUGCCGGAUUAGCUAGUUGGCGGGGUAAAGGCCCACCAAGGCGACGAUCCGUAGCUGGUCUGAGAGGAUGAUCAGCCACACUGGAACUGAGACACGGUCCAGACUCCUACGGGAGGCAGCAGUAGGGAAUAUUGGACAAUGGGCGCAAGCCUGAUCCAGCCAUACCGCGUGAGUGAAGAAGGUCUUCGGGUUGUAAAGCCCUUUUGUUAGGAAAGAAAAGCAGCAGGUUAAUACCCCGCUGUUCUGACGGUACCCAAAGAGUAAGCACCGGCUAACUUCGUG